UGCAGAGCUGAACCUCCCAGGCCCCAGGGUUUUAGUGCUUUCACUGCUCUUUGAAACUGAGAGAGAUCUGCUGUUAAUGCUGCUGAUGACAAACAGCUACCUCAUGCCUCUUCUUGUCCUUCUGCACCCACAGGCAGCCCCACAUGGGGCACAAAGGUUUGCAUCCCUGAACAGCAUCUCUGUGAUGCUGUCGUGGCGCAGCAGGAGACUCUGAAUGCUCUGGAACGCUUGAAAAAGACAACGCCCACACCUGUACCCAGAUACUGCUCUAAGAGAUGGAACAAAAUUUAAAUUAUCAGUAAUUUCAGCUAAACACCAUGGAUGUCCUGUGAGAAGAAUGGAUGACAUGAAAAAAUCCACAGCUUCAAAUUGGACAAAAACAUUACAUUUGGAAACAGCUUUUAGGAACUACAGAUUAAAAUAUGACACUGAAGAAUGUUUACUACUAGAAUUCUUCAAGACAUACAUCUCCCACCUUUCUCAAGCUUACCAAGAUCCUAACUGAGAAAACGUGUUACUUUGUGGUUCUUCAUUUCCUCAACAACCUUCAAUUGCUGAUAGUACCUUACACAAAUAAACACUAGAAACAGACCGCCCGAAAGAGAGGUAAAUUUCAAGCCAGGAAACUGAAAGCUCUGCUCUACAUCGAAACAUUCGGGCAAAAGCUCCUCUGUCCCUGCUGAAGCCAGGGGUCAAUGUCUGCCUUGAAACCAGAAGUAAAUUUUCACAAUUCACACUGAAGACUCUGAAGAAGUAAAAGGUGGGGAAAGUCUUUGCUGGAGAAUAACAGGACCCUGGCUGUAUCACUACUAGGAGUGCGUCUGAAAACACAUACCAUGUGGGCUGAGUGGGCAUAUGCAAAGGUGAAAAUAUACGCUCUUUUAAAAGCAAUGAGAUUUUUUCAGCAGUGGAGAGCCAGGGAACAUUGAGAUAGAAAUUUAAGAUCACCAUCAUUCGGACUGUCACGAGCAUUUUUUUAAACUUUUCUUCAGCUUGUUCCAAAACAUGCUUUAGAAACACAUGAAGCGCUCCUGCGAAAUCCAGACCGCUUCUGUGCCACUGUAGGACCAUUUAGCCCCAUCGGGCUUCCCCUGCCUCUUUCCCCGGCGUCCCCCGGCACUCGCCCCUCGCCAUUCCCGGCCGGGCCGCCCCGGGCGAGGCGGCGGC